AGAAAGAAAUCUUUAUUAGUUCAGAGGAUAGAACACCGUCAGACACUACUAAACCUAAUGUGAGUCUCAUCCUAGAAGAUCGUUCAGUUUUGAGAUCUUUGGCCACUGAGAUAAUUAAUCUGCCUUUGAGAUGGAGUCUGUUCCCUGACAGUCAUCUUGAACAUGAGCCUAAAGACAAUUUAGCAAAUUGAAAAUGUUGCUAUAUAGCUGGAAGAAGGAAUAAACAGGAACACAGGAAAAAGAAGUACUGAAAAAUAGCCAGUGACCAUCUACUUUUUCCAGAGACAGCACGAUCAGGAAGAGGGCUGAGAGCAGCUUGCUUUGGAGAUAACCUGAUCAGGAACCAUUUUACUGGAUGCAGAGCUCUCUAGCUGCUUCUUCCUAAUUACCUCCCACCACUCCAGCCUCUGAGUCCAUCCAUCUGCAGUCUCUCUCACUGGCGUUCCAGAUGAUGGCUAUCAGCACCUGGAUCCUUAUUUGGUAGUUGAUGGCAGUAAUAGUGGGUAUUCAUUACCCAGGUGAAUCCAAAAUUCGUGGAUUAGCCCUAGCCUUGUUUAAAGUAAUUGUUAGAUUAAACUCUUGUCCAUGAACUGAAGAGACAUUAUUGGUUCUGUUGCAGAUCGCUAAUUCUGGGGGGGAAACAGUCCGACUGCCAAUUCAGAUUUCACUGACUUAAAAAUACAUUAGCUCUGGAAAGCAACGCUGCUUACAUGAAAAAAGGAAAUAGCAGAAAUGUUUAUGUUUCAGUAACAGUUACUUUGCAACCUAGAGGAAUUUACUAAAUGAACAGCAGUUUAGGGUCUUCAAGGCUUAGCAAUGCGAAUAGUAUCUAAUGCAUUUGAAUAAGAAGCAGUUACAAGAGUAAGCUGAGUGGUGCAACAGUCUGUAUAUUUUAUUUUCUGACAGACUUAUAAUUGGAUUGAUGAGUAGCCUGGAGCUCCAGGUACUGUAAGAGAAAUGGGUGGCAAAGAAGAUAGGUAAACGAGCAGCAAGAAAUCUCAACAGAUACGAAAUUCUAAGUUCUCGAUUUAAAAUCACUACUUCAAGGCAAAGGAUGAGAAAAGUCUAUUUUGAUCUUAUUAUGGUUUGACAAAACUCUCCAUCACUGAAGUAUAAAAGACAGACUAAUUAUAUGAAAGCAAUGAUUUUUUUUUGGUUUGCUAUAAAACUAAUUAUAAAACAGCUUUUAAUAAAAUAUUCUGUGCCAAAGCCAAUACAUUUUAUAUUGUCCAUUGUAAAAUAAUCCUUGAUGUUGUAGUUUUUAAUUCUUAAUCAAAGUAUUCAUUUAGACUCUAUAAAGGAAAUUAAGGUGUCAUAUGUAACUGAUUUUGUGGACAAUAUUUUCUUUGUAGAUAGCCUGAAGAUAUGAAAUACCUGCAUUAAUAUGGCAUGGGUGUUAACAGAGAGGUGUCUUCACAAUAAUGUGAGCACUUCCAUACUCUUUUAUGAUGAUACUGGGUGUCAGACUGUACCUAAGAUGU